AAUGAACGUUGGCGGCGUGGAUUAGCCAUGCAAGUCGAGCGAGAACCCGCAAGGGGGACAGCGGCAAACGGGGUAGGAAUGAUUGGUGACGUACCCUCGGGACGGGGAUAGCCACGGGAAACUGUGGGUAAUACCCGAUAAUCUCCCAGGUUUGAAGACCUGGGUGCAAAGGUGUGAUUCCACCGGAGGAGCGGCCAAUCUGGUAUUAGCUAGUUGGUAGGGUAACGGCCUACCAAGGCUACGAUGCCUAGGGGGUGUGGGAGCAUGGCCCCCGCGACUGGGACUGAGAUACCGCCCAGACACCUACGGGUGGCUGCAGUCGAGAAUCUUCGGCAAUGGGCGAGAGCCUGACCGAGCGACGCCGCGUGCGGGAUGAAGGCCUUCGGGUUGUAAACCGCUGUCAGAGGGGAUGAAGUUCUAGGAGGUUCUCCUUCUAGAUUGACAGAGCCUCAGAGGAAGCACGGGCUAAGUAUGUGCCAGCAGCCGCCGUAAUAC
rnacentral:rRNA from 1 species